rnacentral:misc_RNA from 1 species
CUCUCUCUUUUUUUAUUUUUAUCAUUUCUGCGUUUUGUUAGAUGGAGAUUGAACCACCUAUAACUCCGUAAAUUACACAAAGGAGCGUUGAUAAGAUGUCGUACUCCAAAAGGUCAAAGGAUGCUUGCUCUCCUUCUCCAUGCAAGCGAUACAGCAGGUCCGUGUCGAGAUCUUUGUCGGUGUCAAGGUCGAGAUCAAGGGAGAGGGACAGGUCAAGGAGCCCCACAAGUGACGUGGAAAACCCUGGUAACAAUUUGUAUGUGACAGGACUGUCACCACGUAUCACCAAGAGAGAUCUUGAGAAGCAUUUUGCCAGUGAGGGAACGGUGAUCGAUGUUCAUCUGGUGGUUGAUCCAUGGACGAGAGAAUCUCGUGGAUUUGGUUUUGUAACAAUGUCCACUGUUGAUGAGGCUGAUAGCUGCAUCAAGUAUUUGAACCACUCUGUUCUUGAAGGCC